ACUUUUAUAACUUUCUGCAGGCUUUAGUAGAGGGAUGAUCAGUGGAGCAGCACACACACACACACACACACACACACACUCGUAGACACACACUCCACAGCAGCCCAAAGAGGCAUACAGAGCCCUUCUCCUUAAAUGGUCAAAGCUCCCAGGAGUGAAAGAGAGGCUGCUGCUGAAAAAAGACAGGGAACAGAGGGGACGGGAGAAGGAAGGAGAAGCCCCGAGGAUAGAGGAGUUUUUCUGAGGGAAAAGGCUGUGGGUGACAGUUUGACUGUGGGAAGUCGGGCCGGGAGUUGGAGAGAUCAGCCUGUGUGUGUGUUUCUCUACGGCGCUAGUGGCGGACUCAGCUCCAGGACAAGGAGGAGCUCUUGCAGCAGGGGUCUCCUCCUGAACACAGUGAUCGUAUCACCGAGGAGUCCUGCGACGCCCCCUGCGCUGCUGAAAGUCUUUUUAUUUUCCCACACACCCGCUCGCGCCCCUCGCUGCCCCCCACCAUGCCAACGCUGCCGGAAGAAGAAGAGGACUCCCCCGAGGAUCUGGACAGUUCCUCCAGCUCCCCCAGUACAGUGAGUGCAACUCUUUGCUAAACCAUCUGAGGUUGUAAAAGCUGACACCGUGUAAUUGAUUUGGAUCUGGUGAGGAAGUUCAUCGGUGCUGCGCUCAUACAGAGCCUUCAAAGCACUUUCAGUUUAGCAGGAGAAGCAUUUGGAUCACUUUAAGAGACCAUAUUGGGAUUUGGUUUGAUAUAUAUUUCACUUUUUUUGGAUCUGCACUUGUAUUUUUGUGGUUUCCUACAAAAUGUUUACACGUUAAUCUGUAAUUCCACUGAAUGUUGAAUGUUUUAUGAGUGUUUGAAGGUCACUUUGUCUUUCUACCACAGUAAAUCAUCCACAGCAGAGCCACUGCUGAGGUUGAACUGACUGAUAUCAGUUCAGGUUGGAGACUUGGAGCCCCUUGAGAACAGUUUGUAAUUUGUGGCUUUGAGCUGCAUAAAUAAAAACUGACUUGAGUUCAAGAAUUAAGAACAAAAUAUCUUUAAUGCUUUAUUCUUUUUAUAUUAGAACCAGACUUCUAAUAGGAUCUGAGAACCUGGGAGCAAGUCCUCCUUUGUUCAGAUUUAAAGGGUCAUUUCACCCAAAUUGCAUCUGAAAAAAAUCUCUUUUAUCACGUGUGAUGUCUGUCAAAGCUUUUUAAGCUAUUAAAAGGUCCCCUGUUAUGUUUUUUUCAGGUUCAUGUUUUUUAUUUGAAUGUGUACCAGAAAUUGUUUACACUCAUAACGUUAAACAAACACAUUAUUUUUCUCACACUGUCCAUUGCUGCAGCUCCUCUAUCAAGCAAAUCGUGCCGUGACCACUUUGGACCCCCAAAGUCCAGUUUGUUUGUCUAGUGUGAGCGGUCUGUACUGUGCUCAAGCAUGGUACACUUUCUUGGUCCUGCCAUGGUUUGAAGAGGUGUGCUUUGGAAGAGUACGGUUGCUCAUGCAUGAGCACAAGAAUGGGUUUACAAAAUGGACAUGAAGUAAAAUCAUGUGUAUUAUGCCAUCUUGCAUAAUGAAGAAUCCAGAAAUGUGAGAGGACGUCUAUGAUCAAAACAACAUAAAAUAAGCCACAAAAAAGUCAGUAAAGUCAAGCUCUCAGUGUUAUCCUCCAAUGUUCUGAGGCUAUGAGGUGAUGACAUAUGUACAAGAAGUAACCGCGAAUAUGAGUCCAGGCCAGCAGGGGAGGAGGGAUUAUCAUGUUUGAUCACAGUACAGAGCAACUGGGCAAAGUGGAAGUGUGCCCUAAGUGCCUGUCUCUUUAAGGUCCCCUUGCUGAAAAGCCCAGUCUGCUCUGAUUGGCCAGCUCUCACAGGCCUGAAUAGGCAACGCCCACCCUAUUUCCACAUCAGCUCUGCCGGUGUGUUUGUAACCAUACCUGUGGCUGAGGGUGGUGACUGUACAGUUGUGAACAACUUCAUAAAAGGCCCGUUUGAAGGCGUGGUUUCUGAAAAAUUGGCUUUGUGCAUUUCUCCAUGUACUGAGUGUUUUUGUACUUUCACAGUAUUUAUUGUAAACAGCUCCAAGAUCUGCUUUAUGAUACAAAAAUAAAAAUUAAAAAAAAGACAGGAAAUCUCACUUUCUACAUCAAAGGACUUAAAACUAUCUGCAAGCUUUUGGAGGUAUCCACGUCUGCAACUCGUGUAAUCACCUCACUCUUUUGAGAAAACACUAUCCCAGUUAUUACAUUAGAACUCACAAACCUCACUGCCAAAUAGUUUGAGACAGUAUAUUCUCUUGAAAUUGGUUCCAGGGAAAACUUGUGAAUGAAAUUGAAUUUCUAAAAUGUAAUUUUUAGAUACUUUCAGCACCUAUAUCACCAAAUCUAUCCAUUGCUAUUGUGCUGGGGAGGCAGCAGCAUUUAAGAGAUUAAUAUCUCAAAACCAAAACCAUUUGCUUGACACCAGUAGGCUUAAAUGGAAAUGUAAUCCUUUUAUCAUUUGUGUGAUCCGACCCUUUAAAUCGUAACAUCCUCACGUUUGGAAAUAUUUUUUGCAGCAUAUUAAAAUUAUAUGAAGAAUAUAAACCAAACAUGCUGCGGACAGUGAAGUGUUAAACCCUCUGCGUCCUCAGAGAACAUCAUCUUCCGCUGCAGGCUCUCAUUAACUCACAGACUAGAUAAGACUCCUCUGCAGAAUGUAAUGAAGCUGUAAUCUAAUCAUCAGAGCAUAUGCCAACACUAUAAAAAUAUCCACCUUUAUUACAGCACAGACGUGGCCUCUCUGCAGCAUCACUAUCAGAGGGAAACUUUUUAAAGGGAGUCUAAUGAAAAGAUAAUCUCUGAGAAGAGCUCUCAGGGAUCUAGUGUUUGAUUUCAGUCUGUUUAAUGUGCAUUCUUACCUUUGAUGGCUGGUUUUAGGAUUUUAGGAAACAGGAAUUUUUGGUUACUUAAGUUCAGUUUACUUGUCACUGAAGGUACAGCUUAGCCUGCGGAAAUAGUUGAAUAAUGCAUUCUUUGGCUCUGGACAAACAGCCUGCUUUUCAAACUGUAGGUGUGAGGACUUAAAGAAGACGAAUGCAGGACGCUAUUGCAUCAUAGCAAUUUGUUCAGCUUGACCUAGUCGUGAGACUAGAAAAAUGAGGUGUGUCAGCCCCUGAUUCUGUGAUGCUGACCUGUUUUUGUUUUUUUUAAAUCUAUGGUUUGUGAUCAUUGAACUUCAUGCAAAACAGAAUUAUAGGGACAUUUAUCAUACUCUAUUUAUUUGCUCUUGCAAAUUUUCUCUUGGGGAUCUAGUUCUCACAAAUGACACCAACCAAUGACAAGUCACAAACUUAACAUUGUAGAGCACAAAGUUGCUGCUGAAAACAAUUUCAAAAUGGACUCUGAACUCAGUUCCCCAGAAUUCCCCAGUCUUCACGCCGAGGUGCAAAGACUGCCAAGUGACCCAGCUUUGAGCUGUUAUUGGUCAGGGUGACAGACUGUACUCAAACUGUACUCUGCAGUGAAGGCUGGAUUUAAGUGUGUAACUGCUCCAAAGCCAAUAACCUUUACAGUGUCUCAAAUAUAAAAUGGGUUUCUGACAGAUGAAUUGGCCAUUUAUUAAGGAGCUUUUUGUCAAAAUCUAGUUUUAAUACCUUAUCAUGUGAGUUGAUAUUGUGCUAACAUGACUCAUUUCCUGAAUAAACUUGAGUUUCAUCAAAAUACCAGGAACGGACACUGCAGUUGGGUUUUGUUCCAGCAGCAGGAGUACUGGUCAGUGUCUGGCACACAAUGUCUAAUGGAAUUGUCUUGUGCAAUGUGUCAUUUGUUCUUUACCUGAUUAAUACUUACACCAGCAAUUGCUAUUUUUUGACAUAUCAUCUUUAAGGUUGAUCAAGUGUUCAUGUCAUGAAACAGGUGCUUAUCUACACAUCCAGCAGGAAAGUAGCUAAAAUUAUCAUUUAUAAAGAAUCAGGCCUUUGGCCACCUGGCAAAUUUAAAUCCAAUAUUAAAUCUCUUUUAGCACCGAUUUUUGUUUCUACCAACUCCUAAUGGAAAUAUCUGGCUCUUCAGCUGCCAAAUGCUCCAUCACUAACCGUGUAUAUCUGCUGAUUGGUGCUGAGCAGAUAGUGUACAGUGGGAUUGUAGAGCUUUUUCACUGAAAACAACUUCCUGAGCAGCAGAGAAACAGUGAGUCAGAGAGAGUCAGAUAAACCAGGAGGUCCACGGGUGCCCAUUAUUAAGUUUUAAUCCAGGGCCUUAUCAUGUGUCAUUCCAGCCCUGUUUACAGACGUAGUAUUCAGUAAAUGUUUUCCAGUU
rnacentral:lncRNA from 1 species